GGACUUCUGAGAAACGUCCAGGUCGUGAGGGUGGAACCCUCACAAAUGGGAUUCGGGCCCUUAUGAAAGAGACCCUAGAGAGCUCCCUUGCUGCUUCCACCCUGUGAGGACACAGUGAGAAGACGGCUGUCCAUGA